GUCCUUGCAGCGCAAUGGAUAGCGCAUUGGACUUCUAAUCCAAAGGUCGUAGGUUCGCAUCCCACCUGGGAUG